rnacentral:lncRNA from 1 species
CCCAAAUCAGCCCAUAAAUUACACUAAAUGGGUGCCCACUCUUUGAAGGGCCUUUUGGUCAUUUUCACUUAUAUUUUGUAAUAGUUAUAAAAGGAACAUUGUAGGGUUUUUAGAUUUAGUUUUUGAUGAUAUUUGUGAAUCUUGAAAGACCAAAGAACACAAGUCCUCUCUCCUUGAGGCACCAAAGCCGAAACUAGGGUACA